GUUAAAGCGCCUAACUGUACGCUAACCUAGAUCCCACAAAGGGUGUUGAUUGAUACAGACAGCAGGACGGUGGUCAUGGAAGUCGAAACCCGCUAAGGAGUGUGUAACAACUCACCUGCCGAAUCAAUUAGCCCCGAAAAUGGAUGGCGCUAAAGCGUACGGCUUAGACUCGGCCAUCAAGGCGAGUGCGAUGCCUUGAUGAGUAGGAGGGCGCGGGGCCUGUGGCGCAGCUCGCGGCGUGAGCCGGGGUGAAACAGGCUCUGGUGCAG
rnacentral:rRNA from 1 species